GAUGAACGCUGGCGGCGUGCUUAACACAUGCAAGUCGAACGGAGUUAGCAUUUUCGAAGUGAUUAGUUUACUAAGAGCGGAGAUGUUGUUAACUUAGUGGCGGACGGGUGAGUAACGCGUGGGUAACCUGCCAUAUACAGGGGAAUAACACUUAGAAAUAGGUGCUAAUGCCGCAUAAGCGCACAGUAUCGCAUGAUACAGUGUGAAAAACUCCGGUGGUAUAUGAUGGACCCGCGUCUGAUUAGCUAGUUGGUGGGGUAACGGCCUACCAAGGCGACGAUCAGUAGCCGGCCUGAGAGGGUGAACGGCCACAUUGGGACUGAGACACGGCCCAAACUCCUACGGGAGGCAGCAGUGGGGAAUAUUGCACAAUGGGGGAAACCCUGAUGCAGCGACGCCGCGUGAGUGAAGAAGUAUUUCGGUAUGUAAAGCUCUAUCAGCAGGGAAGAAAAUGACGGUACCUGACUAAGAAGCUCCGGCUAAAUACGUGCCAG
rnacentral:rRNA from 1 species